GGGUGAGAGAGGGGCCGAGAGGAAGGCCCCCGGGUGGGGGAUGGGGAAGGGGCCGGGCCCCCGGAGCCAGAGUAGGGCUGCUGGUUGGAAGAGGUGAUGAUAUUGUUGGAACGGGACUGGGAGGGGGACUGGGUAGGGGACGGAUUAGGGGUAUGGGAGGGGGAGCUCAUUGGUGUUGGGGAGGCUUGUGUCCACCCGAUGUCUCUGAGCCAGCACCCCCCCAAGAGCCCAGUUCCGCCAGUGUCACAAAGCCCACCCUCAUGACCAGCAGCAGCAUUGUGAGCAAUUGUUGGGUAAUCACAAGGCGGGGGUGGGGCACAGGGUGGCCAGUGGACCCUGGCCUGGCCUUUGAGGGCUUAAUCCCUAAGGACCACCUCAGAAGCUGCUCUCUCAGGGGGUGGGCAAGAUGUUCCAGGAGCACUGAGAUAGGAGAACUGGUCAUCGUGACUACAGGGGUGGCAUAGAUUUCUAAGGACCUGCCUCAGGGACAAGAAAUUGUCAGCACUACGAGGAGAAGGUUCAGAUAAGGCCAGGACGUGGUUCGAAAGAGCUGGACACGGGCCUGCUGCCCAGAAGGGGACGCUUACUUGCCAUUCCCUUGAGUAUGGGCUGGACAUACUGACUAAAGAAUAGAGUUUUCUAAUGAUUAGGAAAAAAAUGGAAGUGACAGUGUGUGACUGUGGUUGUAAGAGGCACUGCAGCUGGUCCUUGCUCUCUGGGAUCACGUGCUCUUGGUGAAGUUAGGCGCCGUGUUGUGAGGACGCUGGAGGAGCCUACAGAGUGGCCCACAUGGCAAGGGCCUGUGAGGGAGGCAUCUUGACUCUGGCCCCAGUCAAGCCUUCUGAUGACUACAGCCCCUGUCGAUCCUGACUGCAGCCACCUGAGAGACGCUGAGCCAAAAUCACUCUGCUAAGCUGCUCCCAACUUCCUGACCCAUUGAGACUGGAAGAUAAUAAAUGUUUGUCAUUGAAAGCUA